UACGUAGGGUGCAAGCGUUGUCCGGAAUUAUUGGGCGUAAAGAGCUCGUAGGCGGUCUGUCACGUCUGCUGUGAAAACUCGGGGCUUAACUCCGGGCCUGCAGUGGGUACGGGCUGACUAGAGUGCGGUAGGGGAGACUGGAAUUCCUGGUGUAGCGGUGAAAUGCGCAGAUAUCAGGAGGAACACCGGUGGCGAAGGCGGGUCUCUGGGCCGUAACUGACGCUGAGGAGCGAAAGCGUGGGGAGCAAACAGG
rnacentral:rRNA from 1 species